UUGGCCAUUGCAGACCAAGAUUGGCAAGCACAUAUGUGUCAACUGAUUCUACCAUUGUUACCAGUGCAGACCAAGAUUGGGCAGCACAUAUGUGUCAACUGAUUCUACCAAUGUGGCCAGUGCAGACCAAUAUUGGCCAGCACAUAUGUGUCAACUGAUUCUACCAAUGUGGCCAGUGCAGACCAAGAUUGGCAAGCACAUAUGUGUCAACUGAUUCUACCAAUGUGGCCAGUGCA